CAGACACUCUUGCACUGGGGAGGGAAGAGGUUUGAUCGAUGGCUUGCAGCAUUUAAGGCAAGCGCUGCUGACAAGCGACGAGCUCUUGCCAGGUCCUAAGCCAUGGGAGGCAACGAGCAGCAGGAGCAGAAGAUGUGAACUGCUCUCGUGAAGACCUGGCCUUUUCCAGCAGCCCUUAAAAAGGGGGCAGAUGGUGCCAUAGAGUCUCUCUGGGCACCAACUCAUAAAUAGGACAGAUCUUUCUUUGCCCAGCUUAGACUCGUCCAGCCCAGCGCUAUAUAAAGCUUCAUGAGCGAAUGUCCCCCAGGGGAGCUGAUAUCGAUGGUCCAGCCUAACCUUCUACCACUUUUCUUCUCCCAUCAUGCAGAGACUCACCUCUUCACCCAAGGAAGGCGCUGAUGGUCACCAGCUGAAAAUCUGCGGCAUCUCUGGGAGGACCCAUGAGCCUGCGGCCACUGCAAGGCAGAAGUCAGAGUCUUGCCAAUAAAAAGAGGGUUCAACCUGUUUUUGGAGGGGGUCACACCUGGGUUUACUUCCCACAAGGCUGCACAGGGUUGGAGAGAACUUGCAGAUCUGAUCUUUAUGUGUCUAGAUUGGUCACAGUUAGAAGAAACAGGACCUGACCUUAACCGAGAGACAAGCCAGGACCUGGAGCAGCCCCAACUGCUGGUCACAGGCACAGACACGCCGGCAGCCACUCCUCACCCUGCCUUGGUUUGGAUCGCGUCGGUCCCUGGGAAAGAAUAGAAAUUUGUCGUGAUGAGCCAAGUGGGAGGCUUGGCUCAGUAGCACCAUUUAAUGCCUGAUAAUCCCUCAUCCCAAUUUGCUUCAGUUUAUUAGGCAUCCCUGGAAACAGGCAUGAUGGAAAUACCAUGGAAACGUGAGAGCCAUCAGUUCAUGGUCUCUCCAUUGAUAGAUUCAUUAGGGAGAGCAGAGCUGGCAUCACGUGGACACCUCCACCUCCUCUUCCCAGCUCCAUGCCGAGAGCCCACAGACAUUCUCACACUGCAGCUGAGAGGGGCCACUUUUUCAUCAGGUUUGGAGCGGAGAAUCAAGCUAGCCAUGUCCAUGACUGUCAGCACUGACAGUCCAAUGGUCGCAGCAGCAGCCCCGGUUUGGGCAGAAAGGUGCAGAUUAAACUCACUGAACUAAGCUGCUUACAUCUGGAGAUACCUGAUGGGAUAUUUUUUCCCUCCCUCCAGCCCUUAUGCUUCACCAUUGCCACUUGGCUCGGAUGAUUUUCUUUUAAUAGUCUGGUUAGAAAUGAGAUUGCAAAGGAAGGACGUGACCCAUAAUGGGGAUUUCUGAGUCACAUUCUCACUUCCCCCUCAUGCCUCCUAGGCCUCUAAUAAACUGCAAAGAGACAUUAAGAAAACGCUAAGAACUGUUUAUCUGCUGAGAUCCAGGAGCUGCUACAGCGAGCAGGCAAUAGUGGAUUCUGCGUAUUUGCAACACAUCCCCAGCAAGCAGAUGAGGGAGGCUGGAAGUUCAAGCGCUCAGGACAUGGACUGCCCAGGUCAAGUGGCCCGUGGUGAAUAGGAAGCAGACAUCUACAUCAUCCGCCAACAUGUACUGUAUCGCAUGGGCCACAGUAAAUAACACUCGUUAAGUAGCAGCAUGCAGAUGGGAAGAGGAAAGGGGCCACAUCCUACCUCUGCGUGUGACAUCCCUGAAUCUAACACCAGUGCUGCAGACAACUGCAGGUGCCUGCAGAGACCCACAAAACGUGCUCUCCCUGCUUGAUCCUUCCUAUUACAGAACGGACUCUGCUCAGGUGUGGUGGAGAUUGGUAGCAUUGAGAUCACGCUCUGGUCAAGGAAUUUGAAAUCUGAUUUGAGGUGAAUCGUGCUCCAGAUGGAGUUGUGGAUCGGCUGUGAAGCUCUUCAAAAGUUCAUAAGUCUCUUUGAUAAUGGAGAAUAUUUCCAACCUUGACUGCCUGCUGCCAUCUUGUAUCUCCACGUCAUCCUGGCUCAGACUCAGCUCCAGACUGAAUCUGAGCCAUCUCCUCAAGCUCACGGCUGUGCCCCUUUGCUCCAAAUGGUGUUUGGGGUGACUCCAGACCUGGACCAGGCCUGAAGGCAAAGCCCUGCCCUGCCCUGCUCGCCCCCAGCUCCGCCAGUGAUUUGCUGUGUCAUCUUGAGCAAUCACCGUGGCCAGACAUUUCCCCUUUCAUAUCAGAUGACUCCUUUCCAAACAUCUCUCUGAGCACUUGGUACUGAGAGAAUCAGGCCUUCCUCCAGCAUAUCUCACUGCAGCGAUCUGGAAGGAUGC